GCCCCAGAAGGAAAGGGGGACUGUUAGCAGCGUAGGAUUGAGGAGUUGGAAGAGACCUUUAGAACAGCUGGUCAUUAUGCUGACCGGGUGUCUGCACUAAGUUUGGCAUCAAUAUGGUGACCUCCUGGGCUAGGGGGCCAACAGGUUGCCUAAGGAUGGGUGAACUGGCCCAGGUCAGAAAGGGAGUAGGUCAGAACUCCUGCACCGACUGGUAGUGGGACUGUGCCUGGGCAAUAUAGCAAGAUCUUGGUUCUUGAAAGUAAAGAUAAAGAACAGCAGCUCAUUC
rnacentral:SRP_RNA from 10 species